rnacentral:rRNA from 1 species
GAUGAACGCUAGCGGCAGGCUUAAUACAUGCAAGUCGAGGGGCAGCAGUCCCGCAGCAAUGCGGGAGCUGGCGACCGGCAAACGGGUGCGGAACACGUACAGAACCUUCCUUCGAGCGGGGAAUAGCCCAGAGAAAUUUGGAUUAAUACCCCAUAGCAUUACGAAGUGGCAUCACUUUGUAAUUAAAGAUUUAUCACUCGAAGAUGGCUGUGCGGCUGAUAGGUAGUUGGCGGAGUAACGGCCCACCAAGCCUUCGAUCAGUAACUGGUGUGAGAGCACGACCAGGUCACACGGGGCACUGAGACACGGGCCCGACUCCUACGGGAGGCAGCAGUAAGGAAUAUUGGUCAAUGGACGAAAGUCUGAACCAGCCAUGCCGCGUGGAGGAUGAAGGCCCUCUGGAUUGUAAACUUCUUUUAUAUGGGACGAAAAAGGCUUUUCUAAGUCGUCUGACGGUACCAUAUGAAUAAGCACCGGCUAACUCUGUGCCAGCA